CACGUAGUUAGCCGGAGCUUAUUCAUCAGGUACCGUCACAUCCUUCGUCCCUGAUAAAAGAAGUUUACAACCCGAGGGCCUUCUUCCUUCACGCGGCAUUGCUGGGUCAGGCUUGCGCCCAUUGCCCAAUAUUCCCCACUGCUGCCUCCCGUAGGAGUCUGGGCCGUAUCUCAGUCCCAAUGUGGCCGUUCAUCCUCUCAGACCGGCUACUGAUCGCAGCCUUGGUGGGCCGUUACCCCGCCAACUAGCUAAUCAGACAUGAGCCCAUCCUUCAGCGAUAAAUCUUUGAUUUUAGGAAGAUGCCUUCCCAAAAUGUUAUGCGGUAUUAGCAGUCGUUUCCAACUGUUGUCCCCCUCUGAAGGGCAGGUUGCUCAUGCAUUACUCACCCGUUCGCCACUGUCCUCUAUUUCAAUUGGACGAAUCCUCUAUCCAUAGAUUCUCGUUCGACUUGCAUGUGUUAGGCAUGCCGCCAGCGUUCAU
rnacentral:rRNA from 1 species